UGAUGUGACUCACAAGCGUUAGUUCACCCUUGGGGGCCUCAGCAGAACAAGGCCCUUGCCUGGUAUUCAUUCAGGAGGCAGCUGGCUGGCUUUCUUGAUGGCUCGUUCCUAAGAACUAAGCCACUUUCUCAAGGUUCGGGGCUGGAGUGUCACUCCUGCGGUCUGUGCAGCGUAGUGGGCUCAAGUUUUCGAGGUGACUAGGACAUUCUAAGCCAGCCUUCUACUACAGAGUGCCUUAAGCCUCUGAGGCAGAAGCUCAUCCAUGGCCCCUGUGUUCGCUGCAUGUCCCUGAUGUCACCUUUCCAAACACUAUGUGUCCCUGGAGUAAAUGUGAAGAAACUUACAUUUUUUUCUGUGGAGAUUCGAGGUUUCCAGUCCUCUGGAAGAACCAUUUUAACACUAGUUUGGAGGCCUCUGAGACCUCAGGAAUGGGGAGAAACGUUUCAGGGGCUCCGGAUUCUGGUUUUGGUUGGGUACGGUCUUGCAACCCUCUGUUAGUGAUGCUGGGGGCUCUGGCUCUUGCCCUUACCUGGUUUGACCACCCUUCUGGAAGGUGUUCUGCAGGGAACUUGCUUCUUCCCCCCCCCACUCCACCAGCCAAGGUCUUGCCCUGUCAGAAACUGAUCUAGUACAGUGAUGAGCCAGGGACUGGGUACAGCCUGCUAAGUUUGAGAGAUAAUCUGAUUAACUUCAAGACCUUCCCUGGUGAGAAUCCAACUCAGCCCAGUCCCUUGCCCUGGCUACUGUGUGGCCUUGUGCCUGUUGCAGGUGGGGGGCAGGGGUGAAUAAGGCCAUUGCAAGGACUUUGAGACUGUAACCCUGUGGGAGACCGAGGAGGAGGGGAAUUCUAUUUUUAAAAUGCUCACUGUGGUUUCUGUCAAGAAGAGAAAAGGAGCUGAUGAAAAUCAUGUGUUUCAAAGUAAGUAGAUUGAGAAAUGCUUAUUAUUUGUGCUAAAGAUAUUGUCAUUUGUCUGAUUAGCAAUAGAAGAAAAUCUCCUGUUUUAAAGAGCAUGAUAGCUUAUAAGCUCAGUCAGGGAAGGACAAAUAAACAGCCUCAGAAGACUUUUUUGUUCAAGGUAAAACAGAGUCGGUCCACUGCAUUGCAUUAUGAUCAGGCACCACAGGCUGUGCUCAUUAGAGAGUUUUGAAAUAUUUUAGCCCCAAAAAAGGAAAGGAAAAAGAAGAAAGCUUUCUGUCACAGGAAAGCAGUAAAAGAACAUUCAGGUGUAACUGCAGGUGUUGCAUUUCCUGAUGAAAAAGAUGACUUAUUGCGAACAAAGAAAUUCACCCAGUUUCACUUUUAUAUUCCCUGAAUUGACCUUCUAGUGAGAAAAGGUUUUUAUUGCUAAUCUUUGGCCUUUAGCAAAGACCAAAAAAUUAAAAGGCUGUUGCACACAGCACAUCAUAGUUCUGCAGAUACGCUGCAUGUGGCUCAUGCUUACAGAGUCUUUUAUGUUGGCAUCCUCCUUGCCGGAUAUUCAUUCAUUCAUUCAUUCACUUCUUUCAGGCAACAUUUAUUGAGUCCUUACUGUGGAUUUACAUACAUUACAACACUGUGAAGCAGAUACUGUUAUCCUUAUCUGCCCUAUUUAUGAGAGAAGUAAAGCUCAGAGAGUUGGUUCCCUGACUGCAGCUGGUCCGGGCUCUCCCAGCUCGUGAGUGGCAGGACCAAGGUGCGAGCCCAGGAUUGUCUAGUCCAAGUGUCUAGACUUCCUUGCGGGUGCUUCCUUCACUCCCUCACAGUGUUUCUUCCAGUCUCCCUUUCCUGGGGGACACGUGGGCAUUCAGAUGGGUUGGAUGCAGUCUUGAGUUAAUUAGUCCUGUUGCGUCUAGCACGUGGUACCCACUCCUCUGCUUUGGCCUCAGGUAAUAAUCGAGGUAGAUACCUAAGCCCUGAGGUGGUAGCCGCCUUGGAAAACAGGUACCUCUGCCACGGCCAACUCCUUCCUCUUCUAAAACUUGAGCAUGUGUGUCUUCCUCCUGGAAUUUUCCCACAGUCCCCCUGAACUGAGCCUGAGUCCCUCGUCUUGAUCUUCUGCAGAUCCGUUGUGUUACCCCUGCCACUCUGUGAACAUGGCACAUGGAAACACCUGGAUACGUAACUCUUUCCCUCUAAAAAAGUCUAUCCUAGGCGGGAUCUGUAUCAUGCUGCACACCCCACACUGGACCCUGUGUGUUACCACAGUGUGUCCCAAAGCAUAUUUUUUUCUGCAGUAUCUUAAAUGCUAUUAUAUGAGGGAAGGCUCCUAAAUAAUACAUAUAUGUAGGACCUGUGUUAAGCAGGUGUCUCUCUUGCAGGGCACCACGGAAUGAAUCUUUACUGUUCUCAUGUGCAUUUUGGAAACUCUGGACUACAGUGCCACAUCUUGGGGAAUGCAGGAAUUAUAGUAUAAACAUGGAGACACGUUCCGUUCUAUACUUUUUCUUCAUGGGGAGUCUAGCUUGUGACUGCGCCUGCCAAGCAGCCACCAGAGGGAGGCGUUCAGGGAAAUGCCUUAAACAUUUCAGAAUGGCACAGCUGGCUAAACUUGAUGUUGUUUAUAAAAGGCAUCAGUGAGUUGCCACACCGGAGCAGUACUUAUGCGGUAUGCACAGAAUGAUACGUUUCUGCUUUUAAUAUCUUACUGUGCCCAUCCUAAUGUUCAAAGCAGAAAUCUUUCUGCUGAAAUCAGUCUUUCCUCCUCCGGAGGGGAAGGACUGUCUUCUAUUGACUUCUGUGUCCCCAGCAUUAAACAGCUGGUGAACCUUCAGUGAUCAUUUGUUCAGUUGUUGAGCUGCCAUUAAUCAAAACUAGAAAACCUCUUAA